rnacentral:rRNA from 1 species
AGUGAACGCUGGCGGUAGGCCUAACACAUGCAAGUCGAACGGCAGCACAGUAAGAGCUUGCUCUUACGGGUGGCGAGUGGCGGACGGGUGAGGAAUACAUCGGAAUCUACUUUUUCGUGGGGGAUAACGUAGGGAAACUUACGCUAAUACCGCAUACGACCUACGGGUGAAAGCAGGGGAUCUUCGGACCUUGCGCGAUUGAAUGAGCCGAUGUCGGAUUAGCUAGUUGGCGGGGUAAAGGCCCACCAAGGCGACGAUCCGUAGCUGGUCUGAGAGGAGGAUCAGCCACACUGGAACUGAGACACGGUCCAGACUCCUACGGGAGGCAGCAGUGGGGAAUAUUGGACAAUGGGCGCAAGCCUGAUCCAGCCAUACCGAGUGGGUGAAGAAGGCCUUCGGGUUGGAAAGCCCUUUUGUUGGGAAAGAAAAGCAGCAGGUUAAUACCCCGCUGUUCUGACGGUACCCAAAGAAUAAGCACCGGCUAACUUCGCG